UCAAAGUCCAACUGCAGGAAGGAACAUGUCUAUACCAAAAGCCAAGCAAAUGGUUGGAAAUAAAAGUGGUUCUGAGGAUGGGGCCUGUAGCUGAUGGUACGUGGACCAUCUUGUCACCGCACCAAGCCUCCAUCUCCACAGACUACACCGUCCUUGUCAAAUGGCCAAGGUUGGGAGGUGGAGCAUCUUUUCCAUAUCUACUGCUACUUUGAGUGUCUUCUUAUUUUCAGGCAAUGACCCUGGCAGCUCAUACAUACAGGCUAGCAUGACAUAUGCCAUGUUUUUUUGGGUGACUCUGGUUGGUGACAUGAACUGCUUCUGCCAAGCGAUCAAGAGGAGAAACUGUUGAAAACCCUUGCUGUGUGUGAGGAUCAGUGAGGAGAGAAUGGUGUUGUGGAAUGAUCCAAGAGAAAGACACCAGAGAACACAGUUUGGAAAGGGCGGAACCUCUAUCUAAUCUCUCAUUGGAGAGAGGUGGCUCAGCUGCUGUGGUCCCAGGUGACAGCUAUACUUGGGAUCCAGCUUUUCAGUACUCAGUCACUCUCCACUCUUGCUACAGCCCCAUUGAUGGCAGAAUAUACCUGCCCUAGAUUUGCUCAGUGCAUUACAGUUAAAACAGCACAGUGGCUUGGCCUUAAAGGACCCCAUGUGUUUCCCCUGUCCUGCUGUAUCAGAUCUGUCACCUUGGGAAGAGGCAUCUCGCCUGAUGGACCCAAGAGGAUGCUGAGAGACACACUUAUCAGAGCAGCUGUUGCCUACCACCCGAGGCUCCACUGAGAAGGAAAACUUCCACAGCCAACCUAACGAUACGUGCAAUAAAUAAGCCCCUGUGUCUUGGAUUAGUUUUUUUACAGUACGAGAGCUAGUAGGGAACUCUGGUCAAGGGCAGUACUGGUCCACAGAGGAGUCUCUGUUCCUAAGGAAUACAGCUGAUGUGAGAAAGGCGUCCUCGUGCUUGAGAGUUCUGAUUUGGUCUGCUUUUCUCUGGAAUCUUGGAAGCCCUGUCUGUGUGGAAACACAUCCCAGGAAGCAGAGACAACUGGGUGUAGCAAGAAUGUAAAUUAGAGCAAGAUGCAUCAAAGAAAACAUAUCUUCAGACUCGUGUGGGUUUCUUUUUAAUUGGAAUUUAUAAUUGCACCUAAUUAUAGGACAUAUUUUACAUGUUCCCUUUGAGAGGCUGAGAGGGGGUGGAGCCCUGUCCACUCCAGUCACAGGAGCUGUAACCUUGACAUUUUAAUUAGAUAUUAUUUUGAAAUAUGUAAAAGAGAUUUAAUACUCAGCAAAACAUAGCACUGAUUGUGCAGUUUACCCAAGAAAAUAAAAUGAUAUGCAAUUUGAAAAAUAACCAG
rnacentral:lncRNA from 1 species